AACGAACGCUGGCGGCAUGCCUAACACAUGCAAGUCGAGCGAGGACGUCGGGCCUAGCGGCGGACGGGGGAGUAACGCGGGGGAACGUGCCCGGGUCUUCGGAAUAGCCCUGGGAAACUGGGAGUAAUACCGGAUGAGCCCUUUGGGGGGAAGAUUUAUCGGCGAAGGAUCGGCCCGCGUUGGAUUCGGUAGUUGGUGGGGUGAUGGCCUACCAAGCGGGCGAGCCGUAGUUGGUUUGAGAGGAUGAUCAGCGGCCCUGGGACGGGGACACGGCCCAGACUCCGGCGGGAGGCGGCAGUGGGGAAUCUUAGACACUGGGGGAAACCCUGAUCUCGCCGUGCCGCGUGAGCGCUGUAGGCCUUAGGGUUGUAUAGCUCUUUCAGCUGGGAAGUUAUUGCCGGUCCCAGCAGAAGAGGCCCCGGCUACCUCCGU
rnacentral:rRNA from 1 species